ACUCCUACGGGAGGCAGCAGUGGGGAAUAUUGCACAAUGGGGGAAACCCUGAUGCAGCCAUGCCGCGUGUGUGAAGAAGGCCUUCGGGUUGUAAAGCACUUUCAGUAGGGAGGAAGGUAGUGUAGUUAACACCUGCAUUAUUUGACGUUACCUACAGAAGAAGCACCGGCUAACUCCGUGCCAGCAGCCGCGGUAAUACGGAGGGUGCGAGCGUUAAUCGGAAUUACUGGGCGUAAAGCGCAUGCAGGCGGCUUGUUAAGUCAGAUGUGAAAGCCCGGGGCUUAACCUCGGAAUUGCAUUUGAAACUGGCAGGCUAGAGUCUUGUAGAGGGGGGUAGAAUUUCAGGUGUAGCGGUGAAAUGCGUAGAGAUCUGAAGGAAUACCAGUGGCGAAGGCGGCCCCCUGGACAAAGACUGACGCUCAGAUGCGAAAAGCGUGGGGAGCAAACAGGAUUAGACACCCUGGUAGCACAGAG
rnacentral:rRNA from 1 species